AACGAGCGCAACCCCUGUUCCUAGUUACCAGCGGUUCGGCCGGGAACUCUAGGAAGACUGCCCGUGAUAAGCGGGAGGAAGUGGGGACGACGUCAAGUCAUCAUGGCCCUUACGUCCAGGGCUACACACGUGCUACAAUGGCCGGUACAAUGGGUUGCGAAGCCGCAAGGUGAAGCUAAUCCCAAAAAAGCCGGUCUCAGUUGGGAUUGGAGUCUGCAACUCGACUCCAUGAACCUGGAAUCGCUAGUAAUCGCGUAUCAGCUACGACGCGGUGAAUACGUUCUCGGGCCUU
rnacentral:rRNA from 1 species